GGGUAAGAACCUCACCUAUCUUGAUAUGUAGGUGGGGUUGUGAUAUAUUGUGCCCAGUGGGCCACUUUUGGUAAGCAGAACUGGCGCUGUGGGAUGAACCAAACGCAAUGUUACGGUGCCAAAAUUUACAACUCAUGCAGAUACCAUGAAAGGCGUUGCUUGCUUAAAACAGCAGGACGGUGGACAUGGAAGUCGUAAUCCGCUAAGGAGUGUGUAACAACUCACCUGCCGAAGCAACUAGCCCUUAAAAUGGAUGGCGCUUAAGUUGUAUACCUAUACAUUGCCGCUAAUGUAGAUGGUUUAUAUGAAAUUUCGGUUUUAUAUAAAUUUUGAAACAUUAGUGAGUAGGAGGGUACAAUGGUGUGCCUAGAAGUGUUUGG
rnacentral:rRNA from 5 species